CUGAUUUGAAGAGCUUGCUCAGAUAUGACGAUGGACAUUGCAAAGAGUGGCGAACGGGUGAGUAACACGUGGGAAACCUACCUCUUAGCAGGGGAUAACAUUUGGAAACAGAUGCUAAUACCGUAUAACAAUGACAACCGCAUGGUUGUUAUUUAAAAGAUGGUUCUGCUAUCACUAAGAGAUGGUCCCGCGGUGCAUUAGCUAGUUGGUAAGGUAAUGGCUUACCAAGGCGAUGAUGCAUAGCCGAGUUGAGAGACUGAUCGGCCACAAUGGGACUGAGACACGGCCCAUACUCCUACGGGAGGCAGCAGUAGGGAAUCUUCCACAAUGGGCGAAAGCCUGAUGGAGCAACGCCGCGUGUGUGAUGAAGGGUUUCGGCUCGUAAAACACUGUUGUAAGAGAAGAAUGACAUUGAGAGUAACUGUUCAAUGUGUGACGGUAUCUUACCAGAAAGGAACGGCUAAAUACGUGCCAGCAGCCGCGGUAAUACGUAUGUUCCAAGCGUUAUCCGGAUUUAUUGGGCGUAAAGCGAGCGCAGACGGUUAUUUAAGUCUGAAGUGAAAGCCCUCAGCUCAACUGAGGAAUUGCUUUGGAAACUGGAUGACUUGAGUGCAGUAGAGGAAAGUGGAACUCCAUGUGUAGCGGUGAAAUGCGUAGAUAUAUGGAAGAACACCAGUGGCGAAGGCGGCUUUCUGGACUGUAACUGACGUUGAGGCUCGAAAGUGUGGGUAGCAAACAGGAUUAGAUACCCUGGUAGUCCACACCGUAAACGAUGAGUGCUAGGUGUUUGAGGGUUUCCGCCCUUAAGUGCCGCAGCUAACGCAUUAAGCACUCCGCCUGGGGAGUACGACCGCAAGGUUGAAACUCAAAGGAAUUGACGGGGACCCGCACAAGCGGUGGAGCAUGUGGUUUAAUUCGAAGCAACGCGAAGAACCUUACCAGGUCUUGACAUCCCUUGACAACUCCAGAGAUGGAGCGUUCCCUUCGGGGACAAGGUGACAGGUGGUGCAUGGUUGUCGUCAGCUCGUGUCGUGAGAUGUUGGGUUAAGUCCCGCAACGAGCGCAACCCUUAUUACUAGUUGCCAGCAUUCAGUUGGGCACUCUAGUGAGACUGCCGGUGACAAACCGGAGGAAGGUGGGGAUGACGUCAAAUCAUCAUGCCCCUUAUGACCUGGGCUACACACGUGCUACAAUGGCGUAUACAACGAGUUGCCAACCCGCGAGGGUGAGCUAAUCUCUUAAAGUACGUCUCAGUUCGGAUUGUAGGCUGCAACUCGCCUACAUGAAGUCGGAAUCGCUAGUAAUCGCGGAUCAGCACGCCGCGGUGAAUACGUUCCCGGGUCUUGUACACACCGCCCGUCACACCAUGAGAGUUUGUAACACCCAAAGCCGGU
rnacentral:rRNA from 1 species